rnacentral:tRNA from 1 species
UGGGGCGUCGCCAAGCGGUAAGGCACGGGGUUUUGAUCUCCGCAUACCUAGGUUCGAAUCCUAGCGCCCCAGCCA